GCGAUCGAAACUCUCGCGGUUUGCCGAUUGUGAUCGAGAGAUCGCCGCGAGGAAAGGAUCUAGAUACGGAGUUUGCUGCGACAACACGCCCGUUUAAUUGGCACGCGCUAACGGUUCAAAUCAAAAUUGAAAUUACAAUGCCCUCGGCGAAGGUCUCUGUUCAUAAUAACGCGCGCGCGAUCGCGGGGUCAUAGACCGUACGCGUGCGUUUUGAUACUCGCGAAUGUGUUACUUCGUAACGGACGGACGUCAUGUGGGAGACGCGGAGCGAGGGGCGGAAUUUUCGUUCGCCGCGUAUUGUGCUCGCGCGAUUUUAACCCUUUGCACUUGAAGCCAUUUUAACUGUAAAUCUAAAUGCAUUUUAUGCAUUUUAUGCGUCGGAUUCCCGGAAAUCGUGCCUGUGCAGGGUGCACCACGCACGUAGGGCCCUGCGUGGCCUGGCCCAAGGAUCUCAGAAUCCCGGAGUCAGUUUGUUCGCGGUUUAGGAUUCGCGAAAUAGGGGCGACGAUGCAAUAGAAGUUACAUCUUCCUAAUCUCAUUGGAAUCUGCAAAUGUUAAUAACGAUGAAGAAACAUUUAACACUGUAGAACGUAACAUCUCAAUUUAAAAAAAAUUAUUGAAUAAAAUACUUUGAUUUUAUGAAA